rnacentral:tmRNA from 2 species
GGGGGUGAUCGGUUUCGACGGUGGUCGUCGAGCCAGGAGAAGCGGGCCGAGGAUGCACGGUUAUCUCGUUAACGAUCCGCGCAAACCCAUAGGUGCCAAUAACAACAGCACCGACUUCGCCCUCGCCGCCUGAGCGAGCUGCGUAGUCCGCCAGCCCGGGGUCGCUCUCGACCCGGUAGCUGACGUCAUCUAGAGAGCCACUGCUCGUAUCCCUCGUCAUCGGGGAUCCGGGGACUUUUAGGUGACUGAGCCCGUCCACGACUUGUCUGCGUGAUCGUGGGGGCCGAGAAAAUCACAGCAGAAUGCGCCCGGAGAAGCCCUGGUUCCCCGUCAUCGGACGCGGGUUCGAUUCCCGCCACCUCCACCA